rnacentral:misc_RNA from 1 species
GCUGCAGCGUCGUAGCCGUACAGGCAGUAGUUGCUGAGGAGAAAAGACAUAAUUACUGCAUAAUGUUUACUGCUAAUUCCAGUUGACUAGGGUGAUGUUUCAAAAUGAGUGAACACAUAAGAAGCUGGCUGUGUGGGUCUUGCUACCAAAGGAAGCAUUAUUAUCACAACUAAACCCCCAAUCACCCGCAAGAUCAAUGACACUGCUUUGAAAUUCCAGAUAAAGGAGAGCUGCUUUGCUAUAUGAGGCAAAUUAUUGUGAUUUGUUCCUUGGAAAACAUAAUAUAGCUAAUAAGCAAAUUGGGUUCAAUGUAAAUAAAGGCUAGCAAUAGGGGAGGC